GAACAACAACUUAUUCAUACAAUUAUGUAAAAUUAAUUCUUUAUGCUACUUCAUACAAAUUUAUCUCUUUGCAAAAAACUACAUCCCACAAAUGCCAAGACGCCAUUUUAAAUUUGGGUUGCGAGAUUGCGAAUAAUUUCCAAAAUCUUUCACAGGUGUCUCUUCAUUCGACGAAACAAAUUUUGAACGCAGAAUUUUAUAAAUCAAUUUUAAACUAUUCUGUUCAUAAAUUAAUAAAAUAAUAUCUUAUAGGUUGUCCUAAUUAAUAUUUUGAUAAUUUUGUAUCUUACGCCUUCACUUCCUCUACGUUCACCUUUAUAUUCUUAUAAAGAAAUUAAAGAAAUGAAAAAGUCUAAAGAAUUUUAAAAAUUGUAGAAUUGAAUCAUUUAUUUAAAUUAUUGAUAUUGCACUUACUAAAUGGCAAAUAAUAAAAUUUGAAAAAAGUAUAGACCGUUCAUUAUAAAUACCGUUUCACGUCAUCCGCGUCAGAGCACGUGACGUCACCUAAUACCAACCUUAGAAUAUAAAAAAACAGGAAGGAGUCUUUCAUAUUGGGAUAAACCGUAAUCGUACCCCCUCCUAACUGCCAAAGUGUCAUGGCCGCCGUCGGGACCUAUUGUGCUGACAUUUACAAUGUUUACAUAUAGAAAAGUUUGUUUUUUUCUGCUUAUAAUGCCGUUUUCUAAAGAUAUUAGUGAACAAAAUCGAUUUGCUAACAAUAUUUAAUAUAUUUUAAAUGUGCUAAAAUUGGAUUCAACAGCAAAAGUCGCAUAAAUAACAUAUAAAUAACGAAUUUGUUCACCUAUUACAAAUGGGGUUAUGUGGUUGUAACUGUUUAUUUUGGGAAUAAAAUGAAAAUGAUCAAUUAAACGACUGGAAAACUAUAGUGAAGUGAAGAACAUCUUGAAGUUCCAAUGAUGUUUCAAGAUGAGAUAAAUCGAAAUAAUGGUUGUAUGUUAGAAGGACAGAGAAUACGAAGAAAUGUUAUUACUGCAUACUUAGUGUAGUGAAAUACAAACUUCAAACAUUAUAAUAUAUUUUUUUAUUUCAAACAUUUCAUAUGAUUAUGAAAGAACAUCUUCCUCUUUAAAACAAUGAAGAAGUGAAGAACAUAAUAAAGUUCCAACGAAAAUGAUUCCAGAUGAGGAAAAUCGAAAUAAUGGUUGUAUGUUACGUGUAUAGAGAAUACGAAGAAAUGUUAUUGCUGCAAACUUAGUGUAGUGAAUUAAAAACUUAUUGUCAAAUACAAAUCAAUUUAUUUCAUACUUUUAUAAUAUAUAGUGGUACAAUUUUAUAUGUGUUCAAAUAAAAAUAUUAAUAAAUAAAAUACAAUAAACACAAA